CAGGCCCUGAAUCAAGGCCCUCGGUUUGCUGUAGCCGUUGGUUUCAAGCAGGAGCCCAGAGGAAUUCCUUCCCAUGGUCUGCUGGCCGUCCCAGAGCCUCUUACAGGGAACGGCCAAUUCAGUUGGAAGUAACAGUC
ensembl:snoRNA